rnacentral:tRNA from 3 species
GGGGGUGUAACUCAGUGGUAGAGUGCGUGCUUCGCAUGCACGAAGUCCAGGGUUCAACUCCCUGCUCCUCCA